rfam:Octopus bimaculoides Scaffold92207_contig_86, whole genome shotgun sequence.
GCGCGUAGCUUAGUGGUCAGAGCAUUCGACUCACGAUCAUAAGUUCGUGAGUUCAAUUCCCGGCGACGCGCU